UGAACAAAAGUCAUCAGUUUCAGCAUGAGAAAGUUCUAUUUUAUGUUUGUCUGAGAUUCCUUCAGCUAAUGCUCUUGAAGUUAUAAAAGUCACAGGCUGCCCAAGAUUCCAAGGGAAUAUUGUCUACUAUCUUCUCAAACAAGGUGCCGAUUGAGACAGAGAAGGCAGUGGUGGUAGCACUCCUCUUCACCAUGCUGUCUGUGGGCAACCAGAGACAACUUAUGUACUUUGGAAACAAGGUGCUGUGAAUGAAGACAGAGAAGAAGUGUACAGUUCACUCAGCAAUGAAAUACAGGUGGCAUGUGCAGUGCGGGAGCCUGGAUAAGAAAGUUGUGAACUUAACUGUGAAUUAAGCACGGGGCAGAGUUGAAAAAGCUCUUCCCACAAAGCAUCUUUCUAAGUGCAGUUGUACAAACCGUGAUAACUCAAAGCUAUCACACUUUCAGUUAUCUUCAGUUGCACUUGAAAGCAAGGGUAUGAAGAGAGUGCCCCGACAUGUUCACGCUGUCUCUGUGGGAAAGUGGCAAAAGUGAGAAGUUCUUUGCACUACUCCUCAAUGCAAACUCCUCAAGUCUCCUAGUUACCCUGCUCAGAUCUUUGACAUGUCCUUCAGUCCAUCAAGACUUAGCCUCACUGCUUUGGGUGGCUCAACAGUGAAGAGUCAGUUUUGCAUGUAUAGAUGCUCAAGAAGUCCCUGAAUGAACAUACUGUUGAAAGAGGUGAUUGUUCUGGAUAACAUACACAUUUGGAGGGGAGGUUGCUCCGUCAGUUCAGCAGUCUCCAACACAGCUGAGUGGUCAGCAUUGCAGUGUGAUAACACAGGCAUGCACAUGACAGCAGCAUGAACUCCCUGUUCACAUUCGCAGAUAAGAGUAAGCACUUUCAAGAGCUCUCAUUCAAACAGUGGAGAAGAUGAAUUACAAGGUUUUCCAUCAUGAUUAUGUACCACUUUUAUCAUCAGAAAAAUAGCUAGUUACAUUUCAAGACCAUGUGUUAUGUUACAACACAAAGUCUACACAAAAUAUCAGUGACAGAGGGGAAAAUGCGGAAUUAUGAUUUGCUCUACGGCUUCCUGACUCUAAAGGGUGAGAAACAUCUGUGCAUUGUUGCUGUCUCUGUGCAAUUGCUCCUCAACUACAAGCAGAGCCUUUUUGAAGUGGGAGAUCUUUAUCAUACUUCCUGGUAUCUGGUGCAGAACACAACCCUUAGGAGAAAUUCAGCAUAGACUGUCUGAAUGCAGUUGCAAGAACUCAAACAAAAGCCGUUAUCAUCUGGCUCAGGCAGAAAAGACACUAACCAUGCCAGCCUGGAGACCUGAGUUCAAUUCCUGUAACCUAUAAAUAGUUAAGAAGGGAAAAGUGA